rnacentral:rRNA from 1 species
GACGAACACUGGCGGCGUGCUUAACACAUGCAAGUCGAGCGGAAAGGCCCUUUCGGGGGUACUCGAGCGGCGAACGGGUGAGUAACACGUGAGUAAUCUGCCCCUGCUUUGGGAUAGCCACCGGAAACGGUGAUUAAUACCGGACACGACCACUUCUCGCAUGGGAUGGUGGUGGAAAGUUUUUCGGCCAGGGAUGUGCUCGCGGGCUAUCAGCUUGAUGGUGAGGUAAUGGCUCACCAUGGCUUCGACGGGUAGCCGGCCUGAGAGGGUGACCGGUCACACUGGGACUGAGACACGGCACAGACUCCUACGGGAGGCAGCAGUGGGGAAUAUUGGACAAUGGGCGGAAGCCUGAUCCAGCAACGCCGCGUGAGGGAUGACGGCCUUCGGGUUGUAAACCUCUUUCAGCACCGACGAAGCGCAAGUGACGGUAGGUGCAGAAGAAGGACCGGCCAACUACGUGCCAGCCGCCGCAGUAA